AGAGUUUGAUCAUGGCUCAGAACGAACGUUGGCGGCGUGGAUUAGGCAUGCAAGUCGAACGAAUCCCCGCUUUGUAGCAAUACAGAGUGGGGGGAAGUGGCGAAAGGGGCAGUAAUGUAUGGGUAACCUACCCGGGGGUCGUGGAUAGCCUUCCUAACGGAUGGGUAAUACACGGCGAUUCGUCGAGGCGGCAUCACCUUGACGGGAAAGAAUUUCGCCUCCGGAGGGGCUCAUAUCGUAUUAGCUAGUUGGUGAGGUAACGGCUCACCAAGGCGAAGAUGCGUAGCGGGUGUGAGAGCACGACCCGCGCCACUGGCACUGAGACACUGGCCAGACACCUACGGGUGGCUGCAGUCGAGGAUCUUCGGCAAUGGGCGCAAGCCUGACCGAGCGACGCCGCGUGGAGGAUGAAGGCCUUCGGGUUGUAAACUCCUGUCGAGGGGGAUCAAGGGAAACUUGAGUGAUCCCUGGAGGAAGCACGGGCUAAGUUCGUGCCAGCCGCCGCGGUAAUUC
rnacentral:rRNA from 1 species